rnacentral:rRNA from 1 species
UACGGAGGGUGCAAGCGUUAUCCGGAUUCACUGGGUUUAAAGGGUGCGUAGGCGGGCAGGUAAGUCCGUGGUGAAAUCAUCUGAGCUUAACUCAGAAACUGCCAUGGAUACUAUUUGUCUUGAAUGUUGUGGAGGUAAGCGGAAUAUGUCAUGUAGCGGUGAAAUGCUUAGAUAUGACAUAGAACACCCAUUGCGAAGGCAGCUUACUAACACAAAUAUUGACGCUGAGGCACGAAAGCGUGGGGAUCAAACAGGA